CGGCGAGUGAAGCGGCAACAGCUCAAAUUUGAAAGCUGGCACCUUCGGUGUCCGCGUUGUAAUUUGUAGAGGAUGCUUCGGCGAGGACUCCUGCCUAAGUUCCCUGGAAUGGGACGUCACAGAGGGUGAGAAUCCCGUAUGUGGCGGGCGGUCCAAGCCAUGUGAAGCUCCUUCGACGAGUCGAGUUGUUUGGGAAUGCAGCUCUAAAUGGGAGGUAAAUUUCUUCUAAAGCUAAAUACCGGCCAGAGACCGAUAGCGCACAAGUAGAGUGAUCGAAAGAUGAAAAGCACUUUGGAAAGAGAGUUAAAAAGUACGUGAAAUUGUUGAAAGGGAAGCGCUUGCAACCAGACUCGCUCGCAGUUGCUCAGCCCGCCUCUUGGUGGGUGUACUCUUCUGCGAUCGGGCCAGCAUCAGUUCGGGCGGCUGGAUAAAGGUGUCGGGAAUGUAGCACCCUUCGGGGUGUGUUAUAGCCCGGCGCGGAAUGCAGCCAGCCUGGACUGAGGAUCUCGCUUCGGCAAGGAUGCUGGCGUAAUGGUUGUAAGCGGCCCGUCUUGAAACACGGACCAAGGAGUCUAACAUCUAUGCGAGUGUUUGGGUGUCAAACCCAUGCGCGUAAUGAAAGUGAACGGAGGUGGGAACCCGCAAGGGUGCACCAUCGACCGAUCCUGAUGUCUUCGGAUGGAUUUGAGUAAGAGCAUAGCUGUUGGGACCCGAAAGAUGGUGAACUAUGCCUGAAUAGGGUGAAGCCAGAGGAAACUCUG
rnacentral:rRNA from 1 species